CGUAGAAAAAAGAGAGUAUAGUCAUAUACUUACUCAUAUUACUGUCACAUUUCCUCUCUGCUGGAAAGAGGACGAAUUUUCCUGCUGAGUUCAAUUUGAUAAUCGCUUAAGUCAUCUGCUCAUGUUACCGUUAACUUCUCAAUUAUCUUGCAGGUCAGUUUUGUUCCUCAAGUUGCCAGAAUUAUUGUUGAACUUUCUUGGUGGUUUAUUGCAUGAACAACAUUGAUGAGCAACCUGUUGCAGAAAGAAAGUUAUUUUGUUUGAAGGGCUUCUUUGGCCACGCAGUUGAGGAAAUAAUCACUGUUAGCAGUUGGCCGAGCUGCAGAUUCAUGAGAGAGCCAUAAGUCUUGGCAAGUUAAAUGUGUGGUUCCUAGGCUGUAGAGGUACCGAAAGAUGCGUAGAGUGGGAGGAUGUUGUGGUAGUCUCUUUGGAUUUGCUACGUUUUGUUUCCUCACGGCUGAAAGCAGGAGGUGAUUAAAAUUCAUGCUAGUAGAAGAAACAGCACAAAGCUCAGACAUGAAGAAGUGGAAUAGCAUGGAGUGGCUGAGCUUUGUCCAACGUGAGCCCAAACUUCGAUUCCAUAUCCAUCUUCUCUGGUGGAAUAUCUCCUGCCAGCUUCCAAUCAAACCCGUGAAUCAGUGAUCCCAACAUUAAAUGGAUCAUUCGAAUCGCCAAUGGCAACCCAGGACAAAUUCUCCGGCCAGCACCGAAUGGAAUCAGCUCAAAAUCAUGACCUUUUACGUCAAUUUCCAAUCCUAAAAAUCUUUCUGGCUCAAAUAAGUUUGGGUUCUCCCACAGGUCCGGAUCUCUCCCAAUUGCCCAUACAUUGACCAUUACUUGUGCAUUUUUUGGCACUGUAAAACCCAUUAGCUUCACAUCUGAAUCAGGUUGUCGUGGCAGGAGAAGUGGUACUGCUGGGUAUAGCCUUAAGGUUUCCUUGACAAUAGCCUGCAAAUAUGGGAGCUGUGGAAUGUCAGUCUCUUCAAUUGUUUUUCCUUUCCCUAUGAUUUCGUGGAGCUCUGCUUGUGAUUUUUUCAGCUUUUCUGGGUUGUGGAGUAAUUCUGCCAUUGCCCAUUCUAAAGUGCUCGAUGUUGUGUCAGUUCCUGCACCAAAUAGGUCCUGCGGGGAAGACAUGUCAUGUUUUCUUUUAAAAGCAAUGCAGGGAACAAAAUUGAUAAUAUGUCAAAAGUGAAGUUGACUACCAGUAACAGAUGAGGUAUUUUUGAUACUUCUAUUUCUUCAGAAUCUGUUUGAUUGAUGCCUAGUAAGCCAUCCAAAAAAUCAUCCCCUGGUAAUGAUUCUAAUGGUCUCUUGCCCUGCAACCGUGGUUCAAUUAUGGUGUUGAAUAGAUCAAUCAUCUUACCAAAGUGUAUACUUGUACGCCGUCUGAUGCCUUGUGGGUCUAUCUUCUUCAAUAGAGGGAAAUAAUCAGCAAAGUUGGGUUUUCCCAAUUCUCCCAGUGCACCUCGCACAGUCUUUCUAAAUUCAGAAGCAUAUUUGGUACAGGGGUCACCCAAAUCCAGUGAAAAGAAAGUGCUUGAUAACAUAUUCAGCGUUGUAGUGAAUGCUACUUGACCAAUGUCCACCGAUAAACCAUCUUCGCUUCGUUUUUGGAUGUAGGCAAGGAGAUCCCUCAUUUUUUCUUUUCGCUGAUUUUGGCUCAUCUCAAGCUUACUGGCUGAAAAUACUCUUAAAUUGCAGAUUUUUCGAAGCUUUCGCCAUUCUGGGGAAACUGGCAAAAAGGACAGUGAACUUUUGUGGUGAUCAAGUGCACGAACAGCAUCAAUGACCAACCUGUUAGACAAAUAAAGAUCUUGUUUUUGAAGGGCUUCUCUGGCCAUGACAGAUGAGGAAAUGAUCACUGCUGGCACUUGGCCGAGCUGCAGAGUCAUGAGUGGGCCAUAAGUCUUGGCAAGUUCAGUCAAAGAGAUGUGUGGGUUUUUGCCGAGGCUAAAGAGGUUCCCAAAGAUGGGUAUAGUGGGUGGACCUGGUGGUAGUCUCCUUGGGUUUGAUUCAUCAUCUUUCCUCCUUACAUUUGAAAGGAAGAGAUGGAUUACAAUCCAUGCUAGUAGAAGACACAACACAAAACUCAGUUUUUCAGAUAUGCUUCAAUGGAAGAAUCAAUAAUUUGUGGCGUGUUGCGAAAACAGUGGAAUGACAAAUUUCACUGUUAAGCACAGUGAAGUCUACUGACAUGCAUUUAAUGCAUGGGUGAGUUUUUCUUGCCGAUUGCUGCAAUUGUUGAUUUCUGUAAAGUGAAGUCCACUGACAUGCAUUUAAUGCAUGGGUGAGUUUUUCUUGCGGAUUGCUGCAAUUGUUGAUUUCUGUAAAAUACACAGUAAAGUUUAUAUCUAUAAAUACUGUCAUUUGUAAGAAGUUAAUACACUCAAUUCAUAUACAAUACUCUUCUGAUAAAUUCCUUUCAGUAACAUUCCUUCUAUAUAUAUUUCUCACAACACGUUAUCAGCA